rnacentral:rRNA from 2 species
AGAGUUUGAUCCUGGCUCAGAACGUACGCUGGCGGCACGCCUAACACAUGCAAGUCGAACGAAGUAGCAAUACUUAGUGGCAGACGGGUGAGUAACAUGUAGGUAUCUGCCCUUUGGCCUGGAAUAACACGAGGAAACUUGUGCUAAUACCGGAUAAGUCUUUACGGAGAAAGCUUUAUGCACCAUUGGAUGAGCCUGCACUUGAUUAGUUUGUUGGUGGGGUAAUGGCCUACCAAGACUGUGAUCAAUAGCUGAUUUGAGAGGAUGAUCAGCCACAUUGGGACUGAGACACGGCCCAAACUCCUACGGGAGGCAGCAGUGGGGAAUCUUGCACAAUGGAGGAAACUCUGAUGCAGCGAUGCCGCGUGAGUGAAGAAGGCCUUUGGGUUGUAAAGCUCUUUCGUCGGGGAAGAAAAUGACUGUACCCGAAUAAGAAGGUCCGGCUAACUUCGUGCCAGCAGCCGCGGUAAUACGAAGGGACCUAGCGUAGUUCGGAAUUACUGGGCUUAAAGAGUUCGUAGGUGGUUGAAAAAGUUGGUGGUGAAAUCCCAGAGCUUAACUCUGGAACUGCCAUCAAAACUUUUCAGCUAGAGUAUGAUAGAGGAAAGCAGAAUUCUAGUGUAGAGGUGAAAUUCGUAGAUAUUAGAAAGAAUACCAACUGCGAAGGCAGCUUUCUGGAUCAUUACUGACACUGAGGAACGAAAGCAUGGGUAGCGAAGAGGAUUAGAUACCCUCGUAGUCCAUGCCGUAAACGAUGUGUGUUAGACGUUGGAAAUUUAUUUUCAGUGUCGCAGGGAAACCGAUAAACACACCGCCUGGGGAGUACGACCGCAAGGUUAAAACUCAAAUGAAUUGACGGGGACCCGCACAAGUAGUGGAGCAUGUGGUUUAAUUCGAAGAUACGCGCAGAACCUUACCAACACUUGACAUGUUCGUCGCGACUCUAAGAGAUUAGAGUUUUCGGUUCGGCCGGACGAAACACAGGUGCUGCAUGGCUGUCGUCAGCUCGUGUCGUGAGAUGUUGGGUUAAGUCCCGCAACGAGCGCAACCCUCACUUUUAGUUGCCAUCAUUAAGUUGGGCACUCUGAAAGAACUGCCAGUGAUAAGCUGGAGGAAGGUGGGGAUGACGUCAAGUCCUCAUGGCCCUUACGUGUUGGGCUACACACGUGCUACAAUGGCAUCUACAACAGGAAGCAAAACGGCAACGUUAAGCAAAUCCCGAAAAGAUGCCUCAGUUCGGAUUGCACUCUGCAACUCGAGUGCAUGAAGCUGGAAUUACUAGUAAUCGUGGAUCAGCGUGCCACGGUGAAUGCGUUCCCGGGUCUUGUACACACCGCCCGUCACACCAUGGGAGUUGGUUCUACCUUAAGGCAAGGUUUUAAACCCUUGACCACGGUAUAGUCAGCGACUGGGGUGAAGUCGUAACAAGGUAACC